GACGAACCGUGCGAACGUUGUUCGGAAUCAUUGGGCUUAAAGGGCGCGUAGGCGGGCCCGCAAGUCAGGGGUGAAAUCCCACGGCUCAACCGUGGAAGUGCCUCUGAUACUGCGGGCCUCGAGGGGGGUAGGGGCGUGCGGAACUUCCGGUGGAGCGGUGAAAUGCGUAGAUAUCGGAAGGAACACCGGUGGCGAAAGCGGCGCGCUGGACCCCUUCUGACGCUGAGGCGCGAAAGCCAGGGGAGCGAACAGG
rnacentral:rRNA from 1 species